UGGGUCCCGCCUUGCAUCAACU
rnacentral:miRNA from 1 species